UCUAUCAGUUUUUAAAAUUGAACCUAAAAAUCACCCCCCACACAAACAGUUUUCACGAUAGCUUCUCCCUCUCCUCUCCCUUGUGCCACCCAUUUCCAUUCCCUUGAUCUUUAAAUCGAUUUUUGAUUCCCAAACUACAAUACAUUGAUUUCCUAUCAUUCCCAAGUCAUUUACCAUCAUAAAUCUUCAAGAAAAACAUUCAAAACUCCAUAGAUUUCGUUAUCUUCUCCAAAAGUGCGCUUUUCAGAAUUGCGUCAAAACUCAUCUAAUCUUUCUAUCAAAGCCCCGGAUUCAUUAAAGCUUACUACGAGUGAAGGAAAAGAUAAGUUGAGCUUUCGACUUUUUGGUAAAAGAGUAAAGUGAGUAGAGACGUCAUGGUGUGGGCGGUGUGGUUAUCGAGGGAGUGAUCCAAGGAAGACUAGUUAUCUAUCGUAGGUGAUCUAAUAUUUAUAUUCGUAAUAGGGAAAUAGGCAAUGUGGUAGAACAAUUUUGGGUUAUUGAUCUUUGAACAUUUUGAUUUGGCUUAUAAGAAUUUCAUGUUAUUUUUAUGUUAGAAUUUUUAUACAUCGAAGUUGGCCUAACGAUUCUUGCAUGGAUGAUUGGACACAUUGGACUAAUAAACUUAGCCAUAGCAUGAUGAACUAAAAAAAA